rnacentral:rRNA from 1 species
CCUACGGGAGGCAGCAGUAGGGAAUAUUGGGCAAUGGAGGCAACUCUGACCCAGCCAUGCCGCGUGCAGGAAGACGGUCCUCUGGAUUGUAAACUGCUUUUGAAUGGGAAGAAUGUGUGGCUUGCGAGCUAUAAUGACGGUACCAUUAGAAUAAGCCACGGCUAACUACGUGCCAGCAGCCGCGGUAAUACGUAGGUGGCGAGCGUUAUCCGGAUUUAUUGGGUUUAAAGGGUGCGUAGGCGGCUUAAUAAGUCGGUGGUUAAAAGUAGCAGCUUAACUGUUUUACAUGCCAUCGAUACUGUUGAGCUUGAGAUAUUUGGAGGCAGCUAGAAUUUCCGGUGUAGCGGUGAAAUGCAUAGAUACCGGAAGGAAUACCAAUUGCGAAGGCAGGUUGCUACGAAUAAACUGACGCUGAUGCACGAAAGCGUGGGGAUCAAACAGGAUUAGAUACCCUGGUAGUCCACGCCGUAAACGAUGAUUACUAGUUGUUGGGGUUUAAGCCUCAGUGACCAAGGGAAACCGAUAAGUAAUCCACCUGGGGAGUACGCCGGCAACGGUGAAACUCAAAUGAAUUGACGG